GACGAACGCUGGCGGCAGGCUUAACACAUGCAAGUCGAACGCCCCGCAAGGGGAGUGGCAGACGGGUGAGUAACGCGUGGGAAUCUACCUAGUUCUACGGAACAACAGAGGGAAACUUCUGCUAAUACCGUAUACGCCCUAUGGGGGAAAGAUUUAUCGGAAUUAGAUGAGCCCGCGUUGGAUUAGCUAGUUGGUGAGGUAAUGGCUCACCAAGGCGACGAUCCAUAGCUGGUCUGAGAGGAUGAUCAGCCACACUGGGACUGAGACACGGCCCAGACUCCUACGGGAGGCAGCAGUGGGGAAUAUUGGACAAUGGGCGCAAGCCUGAUCCAGCCAUGCCGCGUGAGUGAUGAAGGCCUUAGGGUUGUAAAGCUCUUUCAGUAGGGAAGAUAAUGACGGUACCUACAGAAGAAGCCCCGGCUAACUUCGUGCCAGCCGCCGCCGUAAAAC
rnacentral:rRNA from 1 species